rnacentral:rRNA from 1 species
GACGAACGCUGGCGGCGUGCUUAACACAUGCAAGUCGAACGGAACGGCCCUGCUUGCAGGGUACUCGAGUGGCGAACGGGCGAGUAACACGUGGGUGAUCUGCCCUGCACUUCGGGAUAAGCUUGGGAAACUGGGUCUAAUACCGGAUAGGAGCCAUCUUUAGUGUGGUGGUUGGAAAGUUUUUUCGGUGUAGGAUGAGCUCGCGGCCUAUCAGCUUGUUGGUGGGGUAAUGGCCUACCAAGGCGGCGACGGGUAGCCGGCCUGAGAGGGUGUACGGCCACAUUGGGACUGAGAUACGGCCCAGACUCCUACGGGAGGCAGCAGUGGGGAAUAUUGCACAAUGGGCGCAAGCCUGAUGCAGCGACGCCGCGUGGGGGAUGAAGGCCUUCGGGUUGUAAACUCCUUUCGCUAGGGACGAAGCUUUUUUGUGACGGUACCUAGAUAAGAAGCACCGGCUAACUACGUG